GGUAGGGCGAUAGGCCAGUGGUAUAUAAAUCAGCAGUAAGCAGUAUCUCUCCAUUGCGGUAGUGCUUGUUACAGUUGCUUGUGAUUAGGUAGAAGUUAAUUAUUAUAACUAGUACAAUUAUUAGAGGUGCUACGUGGCCUCAAUUAUUUUCCAUAGUUAGAGAACAAAUUCAAAUAAAUAACAAUACAGUCGACAAGAUACUGGAGUUUCCAGAAAACGACGUCGUAUCGUCGUUAAUCCCACAAUUCAGAAAGUGUAAAAGAAAAUAUUGACGCCGUGACGCAACGACGUUCAUUAUCUGAUUUUUUGAACAUUCACUUGGACCUACAAUAGACUCUAUAUCAUCACGGAUAUCAGAGAAAUCAAAGGAAACUGAAUAAUAAUCAUCAGAAAAAGUUAAAAGAUUAUGACUGAAGUUUUCAAGUGAUAGAAUUACAAUGAAGUUAAUCAUUCUGCUGUUACUACUGGUCAGUUUAGUUUCCUGUAAGCCCUGGCUCGAGCUAUGGUUUCCUCAGCAGUCCUACGACAAUCGAAAUACCGGAUACUACGCAAACGGCCCGUAUCGUCAAAGUAGAGGUGGUAAGGAGCGCUGGAAACAAAUUUGCAGAACUAUAAAUGCGGAUUCAUAUGCGUUCCCAGGACGCGUGCCUUAUCCUGCCGCACCCGUUUGUCCAUGGUAAAGGAAAUUUCCGGUCGGAUUUCCAAUCUGUCGUGCCAAACGCAAGUGAGAACGUAUCGUGCGUUAAAAAUAUGAAUUUAUUGUAACAACGUAGUUUUAGACAGUUUACGUCCACCGGUUAUGAGUAUUUCAGUCAGUAUGCGUGUACGUAUGUGUCCGUGACAAUGCUAGCAAACAAUUUAAAGCUAGUAUACAUACAAAUAUUCGAUUACAUAUAACUACGGAUGCGUUCAUCAAGUAAAGUACGAAGCGAGGAGAUAAUUGUCAAUUGCUUUUGUACGCGAACUUUAUUACUUCUCGCUUCUCGGUCCGUAUUCGCACUUGUUAAAUAUAAAAACGAGAAAAAGAAACUAGGAAUCUUAUCGUACUACAAAAAAUAGCUUAGAG